CUAUAAAUAGAGGCAGAGAGUGUGUGCACUGGGGACUUAGUCCCUGAUCGCGGUUUUCGAACGUGGGUGAUGAGUUCUUUGCUCUGCUCAGUUACUCGGGAGGUGCCUGAAUGUGUGGGGGUGGGAGCGUGGGAGGGGGCUGCCUCCUCUCUCCAUCCCUCGAGCUCUGCCCUCCUUUCUCCUCUCCGUCCCCCCUCAAGGCUCCUCUCCUCCCUUUCCCCCUUCUCUCUGUCUCUCCGUCAGCAUCCCCCCACCCUCUUUCUUCCUCUCCCGUCCGCUUUCUCCUCCCUCUCUCCCCCUCCCGCUCUUUUCUCCCUCUCCCUCCAAGUCUGGCACUGAACGAACUGUUUUGCUUUGCUCCGGGAAGAGUGCAGACACAUAACGUGAAAUCCCGAGCUUUUUGCGUGGUGCAUUUGAGAUGCUUCCUUAUUUAUAUUACCCUCAUUCCCUCACCUCUCCCACCCGCUCAGCAGUCCUUCCAAAUUUCCCUAGAAAUCUGUGUAAAGCAUGCGGAGGGGAAAACAUUUGCACAAAAAGUGAAGGAGCUCGCCAAGGAGCACCAACGACCAAGAGGAGACCAGAUGAGUUUUCAAGGCAGUCCUCACACACCCAGGACACAUGUCAUCCUUUGCCUCGUACUUUCUGCAGUGUCGCUGCUCACGUUCAUCUUCCCGUUAACCCUUGCCAUAAUAUCCCCUCCUGAGCGUCACCUUUCCCCAUUCCCCACCCACUCAGUGCUUUCUCUGAGAUGCCUCCCCGCUCUCCACCCCGGGAAGUGGCUUUGGUUUCUGUUUGGCAAGCUUCCCUUCGAGUUAUAG
rnacentral:lncRNA from 1 species